rnacentral:rRNA from 1 species
ACGGGAGGCAGCAGUGGGGAAUAUUGGACAAUGGGGGAAACCCUGAUCCAGCGACGCCGCGUGAGUGAGGAAGUAUUUCGGUAUGUAAAGCUCUUUAAGCAGGAAAGAAAAUGACGGUACCUGCAGAAUAAGCCCCGGCUAACUACGUGCCAGCAGCCGCGGUAAUACGUAGGGGGCAAGCGUUAUCCGGAUUUACUGGGUGUAAAGGGAGCGUAGACGGAACGGCAAGUCUGAUGUGAAAGGCAUGGGCUCAACCUGUGGACUGCAUUGGAAACUGUCGUUCUUGAGUGCCGGAGGGGUAAGCGGAAUUCCUAGUGUAGCGGUGAAAUGCGUAGAUAUUAGGAGGAACACCAGUGGCGAAGGCGGCUUACUGGACGGUAACUGACGUUGAGGCUCGAAAGCGUGGGGAGCAAACAGGAUUAGAUACCCUGGUA